GCGAACGCUGGCGGCGUGCCUAAAACAUGCAAGUCGAACGCGAUGGCCCUUCGGGGCCUUGGGAGUGGCGAACGGCGGAGAGUAAUACGUAGCACGUGCCUGAAGUCUGGAUAUACCGGGGAAACCCGGGGCAAUACCAGAUGUGGUCGAAGCCCGGCAAUCGGGCGGCGACUAAACGGUUUUCGCUUCAGGAGCGGCUUACGGCCUAUCAGCUAGUUGGCGGGGUAACGCCCACCAGGCUUCGACGGGUAACUGUCUGAGAGGACGACCAGUCCGAGUGGGACUGAGACACGGCCCACACACCUACGGGUGGCAGCAGUUGGAAUCUGCACAUAUGGGGCAACCCUGAUGCAGCGAGCCCGCUGGGGAGGACGAAGGAUCUAGGUCUGUAAAUCCUUCUGCCAGGAAGACUUAGGACGGUACCUGGCGAAUAAGCUCCGGCUAACUACGUGCCAGCAUCGCGGUAAUACUAGGAGCAAGCGUUGUCCGGAUUUACGGGCGUAAAGGGCGCGUAGGCGGUCUGCUAAGCGUGAAGUGAAAUCUCCAUGGCUCAACCCGGAAACGCUUUGGCGAACUGGCAGGACUCGAGGGAGGCAGAGGUGAAUGGAAUUUCCUGGUGUAGCGGUGACAUGCAUGAUAUCAGGAGGAACACCGAGCGAAGGCGGUUCACUGGCCUUAUCUGACGCUGAAGGCGCGAAAGCGGGGUAAGCAAACAGGAUAGAUACCUGGUAGUCCACGCCCUAAACCAUGGACACUAGGCGUCGGGGGUAUCGCCCCCCCGUGUGCCGCAGCUAACGCAAUAAGUGUCCGCCUGGGGAGUACGACUGCCAAGGUUGAAACUCAAAUGAAUUGACGGGACCCGCACAAGCGGUGGAGCAUGUGGAUUAAUUCGAUACUAACCGAAGAACCUUACCCAGGUUGACAUCAAUGGAAAGCCCGUGAAAGCGGGCCCUCUCCCACAAGGAAGGCCAGAAGACACCUGUUGCAUGGCUGUCGUCAGCUCGUGCCGUGAGGUGUAGGGUUAAGUCCUCUAACGAGCGCAACCCCCGUCCAAUGUUGCCAGCGGGUAAUGCCGGGAACUCAUUGGAGACCGCCGGUGUAAUCGGAGGAAGGCGGGGAUGGAACGUCAGGUUCAGCAUGGCGGUUACGCCUGGGGCUUCACACAUGCUACAAUGGGCGAAACAAUAGGGCAGCAAGACCGCGAGGUGGAGCUAAUCCCAAAAAAUACGCCCCCAGUUUCAGAUUGCAGUCUGCAACCCGACUGCAUGAAGUCGGAAUCGCUAGUAACGCAGGUCAGCUACUACUGCGUUGAAUACGUUCCCGGGGUUUGUACACACCGCCCGUCAGUCACCCGAAUUGUCUGCACCCGAAGUCCGUGGCCCAACCGCAAGGAGGUGAGCGGCCGAAGGGUGCGGGGGGUAAGGGGGACU
rnacentral:rRNA from 1 species